GGGAAAGGAGGAAGUGGAGACAUCCACGGGAGGACCAGUUCCUGUUGGAUCAGAAGGGAGCUGGUUCUGUCUUCAAACUUACUGGUGAUGAAAGGAAUGAAGGAUCUGUGGAUACAUUUUAGGUCACAUUUGCCUGAUUAAAAAUCAUUGGGAAAAAAGAAAUCGUCAAAUACUUGGCAGUAUUUGCUAAGUUAUUUUCUGUGCCAGCCUAGUACCAGAGAGAUUUUCUUAUCAAGUUCAAGUGACAAUUCCUUUGGAAGAAUCUCUGUCCUCAGUUGUGUGGCUGUGGUUGGACAAUAUGUAAGUCUAACUACAAGAAAAAAUAUCAGAUGAACUUCAGAGCUUCCUACCAAACACUGACCAGGACUUCUCAAAACAAGACUACUGAAAACCAGGAACCCCUGAGAAGCUGUAGCAGCCAAGAGGGACCUAAGGAAGCAUGAUGAUUAAAUCUGAUGUGGGAUCCCGGGUGGGACCUUGAGGCAAAAAAUAGUACAUUUUGGCAAAAGCUAAGAAAAUAGGAAUAAAGUACAGAUUUCAAUUAAUAAAAAUGCAUCAAUGCAGAUUGCUUUUUUCGACAAAUGUGCCAUAGUAUUGUAGGUUGUAGAUUGAAGAAACUGC
ensembl:lncRNA